AUUGAACGCUGGCGGCAGGCCUAACACAUGCAAGUCGAGCGGAUGAAGGGAGCUUGCUCCUGGAUUCGGCGGCGGACGGGUGAGUAAUGCCUAGGAAUCUGCCUGGUAGUGGGGGAUAACGUCCGGAAACGGGCGCUAAUACCGCAUACGUCCUGAGGGAGAAAGUGGGGGAUCUUCGGACCUCACGCUAUCAGAUGAGCCUAGGUCGGAUUAGCUAGUUGGUGGGGUAAAGGCCUACCAAGGCGACGAUCCGUAACUGGUCUGAGAGGAUGAUCAGUCACACUGGAACUGAGACACGGUCCAGACUCCUACGGGAGGCAGCAGUGGGGAAUAUUGGACGAUGGGCGAAAGCCUGAUCCAGCCAUGCCGCGUGUGUGAAGAAGGUCUUCGGAUUGUAAAGCACUUUAAGUUGGAGGAAGGGCAGUAAGUUAAUACCUUGCUGUUUUGACGUUACCAACAGAAUAAGCACCGGCUAACUUCGUG
rnacentral:rRNA from 1 species